GAUGAAGAACGUAGCGAAAUGCGAUAAGUAAUGUGAAUUGCAGAAUUCAGUGAAUCAUCGAAUCUUUGAACGCACCUUGCGCCCUUUGGCUAUUCUGAAGGGCAUGCCUGUUUGAGUAUCAUGAACACCUCAACUCUCAUGGUUCGCCACGAUGAGCUUGGACUUUGGGGGUCUUGCCGGCCUACGGUCGGCUCCUCUCAAAUGAAUCAGCUUGCCAGUGUUUGGUAGAGUCGCAGGUGUGAUAACUAUCUACGCUUGUGGUUUUCUGCCAGAUAACCUUCAGUGAUGGAGGUUCGCUGGAGCUUAUAAAUGUCUCUCCCCAGUGAGGACAGCUUUUUGAACGUUUGAUCUCAAAUCAGGUAGGACUACCCGCUGAACUUAAGCAUAUCAAUAAGCGGAGGA
rnacentral:misc_RNA from 1 species